rnacentral:rRNA from 1 species
CAGUAGCCGCGGUAAUACGUAGGUGGCAAGCGUUGUCCGGUAUUAUUGGGCGUAGAGGGCUCGCAGGCGGUUUCUUAAGUCUGAUGUGAAAGCCCCCGGCUCAACCGGGGAGGGUCAUUGGAAACUGGGAAACUUGAGUGCAGAAGAGGAGAGAGGAAUUCCACGUGUAGCGGUGAAAUGCGUAGAGAUGUGGAGGAACACCAGUGGCGAAGGCGACUCUCUGGUCUGUAACUGACGCUGAGGAGCGAAAGCGUGGGGAGCGAACAGGAUUAGAUACCCCCGUAGUCCCUGUCUCUUAUAC